AUUGAACGCUGGCGGCAUGCUUUACACAUGCAAGUCGAACGGUAACAGGCCUUCGGGUGCUGACGAGUGGCGAACGGGCGAGUAAUGCACCGGAAAGUGCCCAGAGGUUGGGGAUAACGCAGCGAAAGCUGAGCUAAGACCGCAUGGGAUCUGAGGAUGAAAGCGAGGGAGCAGGCAGGAAUGUUUGGCCUCGCGCCUUUGGAGCGGCCGAUGUUGGAUUUGGUAGUUGGUGGGUUAAAUGCCUACCCAGCCGACGAUCUGUAGCUGGUCUGAGAGGACGAUCGCCCACAUGGGGACUGAGACACGGCCCAGGCUCCUGCGGGAGGCAGCAGUGGGGAAUUUUGGACAGUGGUCGCAAGUCUGAUCCAGCAAUGCCGCGCGCGGUAAGACGGCCUUCGGGUUGUAAUCCGCUUUUGUGCGGAAUGAAACGCCUCUGGCUAAUACCUGGCGCUGAUGACGGUACCGGAAGAAUAAGCACCGGCUAACUACGUG
rnacentral:rRNA from 1 species